UUAUUGUGGGUCCAUAGGAUUAGUCUCAUAUUUUGGUAUGAGUUGAGUCAUUGUAGCUUGUUCAAUCUGAAGAAGAAGGGGUG